UGAGGGAGGAAGGGUGGUAU
rnacentral:miRNA from 1 species